rnacentral:rRNA from 1 species
GGAAGGAUCAUUAAAGAGAGCUUCGGCUCCUUUUAUGUUUUCAACCACAUUGCUGUUUCUAUCCUUGUUGCUUCCGCCCUUUGCAGGCGGGCUACAAGCCUGCUAGGAGGGGGUGGAGGGUUUGUUUUAAAAAUCUGUUUGUUCAGUUAGCUGUAACUUGUCUGAAUAAGAGGGAGUAACGCUUUAAAACUUUCAACAACGGAUCUCUUGGCUCCUGCAUCGAUGAAGAACGCAGCGAAAUGCGAUAAUUAAUGUGAAUUGCAGAAUUCCGUGAAUCAUCGAGUCUUUGAACGCACAUUGCGCCCUAUGGUAUUCCGUAGGGCAUGCCCGUCUCAGCGUCAGCGAAAUUUUAUCAAGCUGUAGCAUUUUCUUUGCUCACGGCUUGGACAGUGUCAGGGAAGCUGCGGUUCACCCUGCUGCAGCUCCUUGGAAAUCUAUGGAUGCUUCAUACCUUUGUGCGUGUGGAACGUGAUAGAAAUAUUUUUCGUUCCCUUUACAGGCGCAUUGGUUUGAGAUAUCUGAAAAACCCCACAUGCUACUUUUGGC